AGUGAACGCUGGCGGUAGGCCUAACACAUGCAAGUCGAACGGCAGCACAGUAAGAGCUUGCCCUUACGGGUGGCGAGUGGCGGACGGGUGAGGAAUACAUCGGAAUCUACUUUUUCGUGGGGGAUAACGUAGGGAAACUUACGCUAAUACCGCAUACGACCUACGGGUGAAAGCAGGGGAUCUUCGGACCUUGCGCGAUUGAAUGAGCCGAUGUCGGAUUAGCUAGUUGGCGGGGUAAAGGCCCACCAAGGCGACGAUCCGUAGCUGGUCUGAGAGGAUGAUCAGCCACACUGGAACUGAGACACGGUCCAGACUCCUACGGGAGGCAGCAGUGGGGAAUAUUGGACAAUGGGCGCAAGCCUGAUCCAGCCAUACCGCGUGGGUGAACAAGGCCUUCGGGUUGUAAAGCCCUUUUGUUGGGAAAGAAAAGCAGCAGGUUAAUACCCCGCUGUUCUGACGGUACCCAAAGAAUAAGCACCGGCUAACUUCGUG
rnacentral:rRNA from 1 species